rnacentral:rRNA from 1 species
UAGGGAAUCUUCCACAAUGGACGAAAGUCUGAUGGAGCAACGCCGCGUGAAUGAAGAAGGCCUUCGGGUCGUAAAAUUCUGUUGUCAGAGAAGAACGUGCGUGAGAGUAACUGUUCACGUAUUGACGGUAUCUGACCAGAAAGCCACGGCUAACUACGUGCCAGCAGCCGCGGUAAUACGUAGGUGGCGAGCGUUGUCCGGAUUUAUUGGGCGUAAAGGGAACGCAGGCGGUCUUUUAAGUCUGAUGUGAAAGCCUUCGGCUUAACCGAAGUAGUGCAUUGGAAACUGGAAGACUUGAGUGCAGAAGAGGAGAGUGGAACUCCAUGUGUAGCGGUGAAAUGCGUAGAUAUAUGGAAGAACACCAGUGGCGAAAGCGGCUCUCUGGUCUGUAACUGACGCU